UGAAAUUCAAUGAAGAUGAGGAGUAAUCUUUGGUAAUCAUUAGAGAGGUGAACCUAGUGCUGAAAGUUCACUUGAUGAAAGAAGAUGAAGGUCGCAUCUGAGAAGAUUUGGUAAGUCAAUAGCCAAAUCCGGUUUGCGCCGUUAAAGCGUUGAGGUGUCAUCUAGAAGCUUAGAUGAAAUUAGGGUGGUAACGCGGAGCUUUCGUCCCUUGG
rnacentral:ncRNA from 1 species